ensembl:lncRNA
CAGGGGAGGAGGCAGAGAGUGAAUGGAUGGGACUGUGGACGAUAAGGAUAUGUGGACCUAGUAGACAGCUUCGCUUUCUGGCCCCAAUGGAUCACUAGCGAAAGAGCAGCGGUUAAUUUUACGUUCUUUAUUCGUUUUGGUGGGCUACAGCCGGAGAGAACGCCGGUGGAAUAAUUUGUUUUUAUCGCUGCCGGUAAAAAACCUUCUGUUCAUACAAAAAGUUCAAUUCGACCAUAACGGCGACAAAUAAAAAAAAGGAACUGGAACACGCUGUCGUACACGCCAAUCCAGAGCAUCCCAAACAUGCUCAAUGGGUGACAUGUCUGGUGUGUAUGCAGGCCAUGGAAGAACUGGGACAUUUUCAGAUUCCAGGAAUUCUGUACAGAUCCUUGCGACAUGGGGCCGUGCAUUAUCAUGCUGAAACAUGAGUUUACUCCUGCCGAUGCCAUAACCCCACCACCACCAUGGGGCACUCUGUUCACAAUGUUGACAUCAGCAAAUCCGCUUGCCCCCAUUAAGCCAUACACAUUGUCUGCCAUCUGCCUGGUACAGAUGAAACCGGGAUUCAUCUGUGAAGAGUAUACUUCUCGAGCAUGCCACUGGCCAUCGAAGGUGAGCAUUUGUCUACUGAAGUUGUUUAUGAUGCCGAACUGCAGGUCAAGACCCUGAUGAGGACAACGAGCACUCAGAUGAGCUUCCCUGACAUGGUUU